GUAACACCGAAGCCCAAGGGCACCUGAUUCACAUUUAGCGGAACCCACCUGACCUGCGCCCUGUGUGCCUGGGCGUGGCCAGCAGCCCAGACCUGUCGGUGUCUGGCCAGAAGGAGGUCGAGGGAGCCGCUGGCUUUAUCCCUAAACUGGAGAUGGGCACCUUUCCCCUCCCUCUGCUCCCCAGAGCCCCCAGGGUGGGCAAACCCAGCGCCCCAGGUAGACCAUUUGGCUGUGGUGAGCCUCUCGGAGAGGGAAGCAGCCGGGGGCCCCUCGUGCUGUGACGGGGAAGCCCACGUCCCAGACCAUCUGUCAUCAGGUCGUUUUGCUUCACUGUGUUCCUGACAUGAAGCUCUAAAGCAAAGAGCUUCCCAAUGAGGAGAGAGAAGGUUCUCGAGUCCUGCACAUGUCUUUUCCAGUAGUCAUGAGAGCUGGACCAUAAAGAAAGCUGAGUGCCGAAGAAUUGAUGCUUUUGAACUGUGGUGUUGGAUAAGACUCUUGAAAGUCCCUUGGACUGCAAGGAAAUCCAACCAGUCCAUCCUAAAGGAGAUCAGUCUUGGGUAUUCAUUGGAAGAACUGAUGCUGAGGCUGAAACUCCAAUACUUUGGCCACCUGAUGUGAAGAACUAACUCAUCUAAGAAGACCUUGGUGCUGGGAAAGAUUGAAGGUGGGAAGAGAAGAAGACGACAGAGGAUGAGAUGGCUGGAUGGCAUCACCGACUCAAUGGACGUGAGUUUGAGGGAGCUCCAGGAUCCUGAGCCAUCUGUUUGCCCUUCCUCAGGAAGAUGGGCAUCAUUCUGUAGCAGUUUGCUCAUAGGACUCAGAACGGUGCCUCAGCAGUAAAGAAUCCACCUGAAAUGCAGGAGACAGGGAUUUGAUCCCUGGGUUGGGAAGAUCCCUUGGAGGAGGAAAUGGCAACUUACUCCAGUAUAUCUUCUGGAAAAUUCCAUGGACAGAGGAGCCUGGUGGGCUACAGUCAUGGAGUUGCAAAGAGUCGGCAGGAC
ensembl:lncRNA